rnacentral:lncRNA from 1 species
GCCAGUUAAAUCAUGCCAAGCACUAUGAAAAUACUAUGGCAAAUAGCAAAGUAGAAUAUAAAUAUGACACUCCUUAUAAAUGCCUAUCCCCUAAUUAUCAUCUGAACUUUGUCACAGUGAGACAGCAUUAAACAAGAAAGUUUUACCUGACCUGUAGAGUUAAAUAUUAGCUAGCUUUAGAUUAAAAAUAUAGGCAAGAUAAAUAGACUUCAACUUUGAUCACAAAAUGGGGCAAUUGAAUAAGUGAAAUCGAAACUGUGCAAUUAGAGCAUUUCACACAGAGGAAGCGUAGAAACAAUGGAUAACAACAAACAAAAUGAUAAUUCCCUGGAUAUGUGAAAAGAAUAUGGGGGAAAAAAGAAUAAAAAUUGCCAGAAGAAACGUCAUGUACAUGGGCAGGUGAAAAAAAUCUGAUUAAUACAACAGAGUACUGCCUGACAGACCUGCAUGAGAUCGUGGCCCAUGAAACCAGACUGGUGAAAGGACACAGUGUUACCACCACACCUCUCAGCUCCUCUGCCUGGCUCAUUUUGGUGAUCUGGUUUGCAGAGCCACCCCUGAAACUUUUCCUCCAGAGCAGCCAAGAGAGAAAGGAGCUGCCCUGCUCAGGGUUACAUGGAAAAGUGAAACCUUGGAGACAGGAAAGAAAGAGACAACAGGUUAUUACAGACCUCACUGCUGUCCUGAGUGAUUCUUCCUUUUCUCCAUAUAGUGAAUUAGCUCCUUGUAGAAGAUUUGAGUUCAAGUAUUAAG